CUUUAAAAAUCUGGAUCAAGCUGAAAAUUGAAACGACACACUGUUUCCUUUCUCCGUAAUAAGAAAGGAAAAAUGGUGUGUUCGAGUCUCUCAAAUUUUCGCAACGCGGACUGUUUUACGAAACAGUUUCGG
rnacentral:sRNA from 1 species